rnacentral:rRNA from 1 species
GGAGGAAGUAGGGGAUCGCAAGACCUUGCGCUUUUGGAGCGGCCGAUGCCUGAUUAGCUUGUUGGUGAGGUAAAAGCUCACCAAGGCUCCGAUCAGUAGCUGGUCUGAGAGGACGACCAGCCACACUGGGACUGAGACACGGCCCAGACUCCUACGGGAGGCAGCAGUGGGGAAUUUUGGACAAUGGGGGCAACCCUGAUCCAGCCAUGCCGCGUGAGUGAAGAAGGCCUUCGGGUUGUAAAGCUCUUUCAGCCGGAACGAAACGGUCACGGUCAAUACCCGUGACUACUGACGGUACCGGAAGAAGAAGCACCGGCUAACUACGUGCCAGCAGCCGCGGUAAUACGUAGGGUGCGAGCGUUAAUCGGAAUUACUGGGCGUAAAGCGUGCGCAGGCGGUUUUGUAAGUCAGAUGUGAAAUCCCCGGGCUUAACCUGGGAACUGCGUUUGAAACUACAAGGCUAG